UACGUAGGGCGCGAGCGUUGUCCGGAAUCAUUGGGCGUAAAGAGCUCGUAGGCGGCCGGUUGCGUCUGCUGUGAAAUCCCGGGGCUUAACCCCGGGCGUGCAGUGGAUACGGGCUGGCUGGAGGCAGGCAGGGGAGAAUGGAAUUCCCGGUGUAGCGGUGAAAUGCGCAGAUAUCGGGAGGAACACCGGUGGCGAAGGCGGUUCUCUGGGCCUUACCUGACGCUGAGGAGCGAAAGCGUGGGGAGCGAACAGG
rnacentral:rRNA from 1 species